GACGAACGCUGGCGGCGUGCUUAACACAUGCAGGUCGAACGGAAAGGCCUGCUUUCCCUUGUGGAUUGCGGGUGCUCGAGUGGCGAACGGGUGAGUAACACGUGAGUGUUCUGCCCCCAACUUGGGUAUAAGCCUGGGAAACUGGGUCUAAUUCCCGAUAGGACUGCAGGGUGGUGCCUGUGGUGGAAAACGAUUUUCUAGUGGUUGGGGAUGAGCUCGCGGCCUAUCAGCUUGUUGGUGGGGUAAUGGCCUACCAAGGCGGCGACGGGUAGCCGGCCUGAGAGGGUGGACGGCCACAUUGGGACUGAGAUACGGCCCAGACUCCUACGGGAGGCAGCAGUGGGGAAUAUUGCACAAUGGGCGGAAGCCUGAUGCAGCGACGCCGCGUGGGGGAUGACGGCCUUCGGGUUGUAAACUCCUUUCGACCGCGAGGAAGCCACCUGGUUGGAAGGGUGGUGACGGUAGUGGUAGAAGAAGCACCGGCUAACUACGUG
rnacentral:rRNA from 1 species